AUUGGAAUUACUGGAUCAUAUGGAAAAUUCAUGUUUCCCUUUUUAAGAAAUUGCCAAACUGUCUUUUAAAGUAUUGUGCCAUUUUAUAUUCCCACCAGCAAU
rnacentral:pre_miRNA from 1 species